rnacentral:lncRNA from 1 species
GAAAGUGCAUCAGGCUGUGGACGGCGGCAGGUGAGGAAGGGUGGGGGGGGAAAACAAGCAAGCCAAGGAGAGAAGCAGCGUUUGGGGGGGGCGAGGACACUGCACGGCCAGCGGGUGCUGGGGCAAGCACAGACUUGGCCUCAGAGAGGCAGGGCCACCAAUCUCCACUUCUUCUCAGCAAAUGUCACAGCCCCACCCGCACAACCGCACUCUCAGAAAACACAUGUGCACACAGACACACAUGUGCACACACGCAUAUACACAUACACCCAUGGACACACAGACACACGUGCACACACGCACAUAUACAUGUAUACACAUGCACACAGACACGUGCACACACAUACACAUACAUGUACACACAUGCACACAGACACAUGCACACACGCACAUAUACAUGUACACACAUGCAGACACGUGCAUGUACAUACAUGUACACACAUGAUCACGCACACACCCGCACAUAUACAUGUGCACACAUGCACACAGACACGUGCACACACGCAUGUGCACACACGCACACAUGCACAUGUACAUGCACACACAUGCACACACAUGUACACACACAUGCAGGUGCACAAGGUUCUCCACUGUGGAUGUCAAUGCAGGCAUCUCAUCAUGUGAAUCUCAACUCCCAAGGCAGCAAGACACAGGCCCCAGCCCAGCUGUGGGUUAGAGUCUCCAUGCCCGGCAGAUGGAGGCUGCUCCGCCAUGAGAGCUGGGCCCUUGGUGUUGGUUACAUGGUUGUGUACAAUCGUCUAAACUCAUUGUGCAAACAGCCCACAUCUAGCUGAUUCUCCUUCACAGGCAACACUAAACAAACAUCACAGAACUGCCUCACUAGGCUUCUCCAGCAUUUGCCCUCUGAUCUUUAAAGAAAACACAAUCUCUGAACAUCUUUAAAAUCCUCUCAAACCACCCAGGAACGCUGAUGAUUCCGCGCACAAAGUCCUCACACAGGCCUGGAGCCUGGCAGGACCCGCACCUCAGACACAUCACCUCAUCCUCAGGAGCUCCACUUGGCACGUGGCACAGACCAGAUUAGAGCCAGCAGACACCAAAAGUGGCGGGCAUGGCUUUCUUCAGAAUGUGGGCCUGUGCUGCAAGUUUUUAAAGGACAUCCAGAAACAUGGUUUUCUCGGUACGCUGCUUCUGCCUGGCCAUGACUGCAGCUUUCAUUAACGCAUUAGAAAUGAGAAUCCAAUCACUGCAAUUACAGCAUUAAUUCAUGAGGCUUAAGCACUUUUAAUAAUUCAAAGUGAGGGGCUGGGUGCUGUGGCUCUCACCUGUCAUCCCAGCACUCUGAGAGGCCAAGGUGGGAGGACCACCUGAGCCCAGGAGCUUGCAAUCAGCCUAGGCAACCUAGCAAGACCCCAACUCUACAAAGCAACUAAAAUGUAGCUGGAUGUGGGGGCGUGCACCCAUGGUCUCAGCUACUCAAGAGACUGAGGUGGGAAGAUGACUUGAGCCUCGGAGUUUGAGGCUGCAGUGAGCUGUAUUUGCACCACUGCACUCCAGCCUGGGUGACAGAGACCCUGUCUUUAAAAAAAAAAAAAAAAA